rnacentral:rRNA from 1 species
UGCAGUCGAGGGGUAGAUUUAGCUUGCUAGAUUGAGACCGGCGCACGGGUGCGUAACGCGUAUGCAACCUACCUUUAUCUGGGGGAUAGCCCGGAGAAAUCCGGAUUAAUACCGCAUAAAAUCACAGAAUGGCAUUAUUCAAUGAUCAAACAUUAAUGGGAUAGAGAUGGGCAUGCGUGUCAUUAGCUAGUUGGCGGGGUAACGGCCCACCAAGGCGACGAUGACUAGGGGAUCUGAGAGGAUGACCCCCCACACUGGUACUGAGACACGGACCAGACUCCUACGGGAGGCAGCAGUAAGGAAUAUUGGUCAAUGGAGGCAACUCUGAACCAGCCAUGCCGCGUGCAGGAAGACUGCCCUAUGGGUUGUAAACUGCUUUUAUCCGGGAAUAAACCACGAUACGUGUAUUGUGCUGAAUGUACCGGAAGAAUAAGGAUCGGCUAACUCCGUGCCAGCAGCCGCGGUAAUACGGAGGAUCCAAGCGUUAUCCGGAUUUAUUGGGUUUAAAGGGUGCGUAGGCGGCCCGUUAAGUCAGGGGUGAAAGACGGUAGCUCAACUAUCGCAGUGCCUUUGAUACUGACGGGCUUGAAUGAACUAGAGGUAGGCGGAAUGAGACAAGUAGCGGUGAAAUGCAUAGAUAUGUCUCAGAACACCGAUUGCGAAGGCAGCUUACUAUGGUUUAAUUGACGCUGAGGCACGAAAGCGUGGGGAUCAAACAGGAUUAGAUACCCUGGUAGUCCACGCCCUAAACGAUGAACACUCGCUGUUGGCGAUACACAGUCAGCGGCUAAGCGAAAGCGUUAAGUGUUCCACCUGGGGAGUACGGUCGCAAGAUUGAAACUCAAAGGAAUUGACGGGGGCCCGCACAAGCGGAGGAGCAUGUGGUUUAAUUCGAUGAUACGCGAGGAACCUUACCCGGGCUUGAAAGUUAGUGAAUCAUUUAGAGAUAAAUGAGUGAGCAAUCACACGAAACUAGGUGCUGCAUGGCUGUCGUCAGCUCGUGCCGUGAGGUGUUGGGUUAAGUCCCGCAACGAGCGCAACCCCUAUGUUUAGUUGCCAGCACGUUAAGGUGGGGACUCUAAACAGACUGCCUGUGCAAC